rnacentral:rRNA from 1 species
GAAGAACGCUGGCGGCGUGCUUAACACAUGCAAGUCGAACGAAGUGGCGAACGGGUGAGUAACGCUUAAUCAACCUGCCCUUCAGAGGGGGACAACAGUUGGAAACGACUGCUAAUACCGCAUACUGAAGGUGGGGUAUUCGUUUGAAUAGCUCGUUGGAGGGGUAAUGGCCCACCAAGGCGAUGAUCAGUAGCCGGUCGGAGAGGAUGAACGGCCACAUUGGGACUGAGACACGGCCCAGACUCCUACGGGAGGCAGCAGUGGGGAAUCUUCCGAAAUGGACGAAAGUCUGACGGAGCAACGCCGCGUGAGUGAUGACGGCCUUCGGGUUGUAAAGCUCUGUUAAUCGGGACGCGGUACCGGAAUAGCAAGCCACGGCUAACUACGUGCCAGCAGCCGCGGUAAUAC